UACGUAGGGUGCAAGCGUUAAUCGGAAUUACUGGGCGUAAAGCGUGCGCAGGCGGUUAUGUAAGACAGUUGGGAAAUCCCCGGGCUCAACCUGGGAACUGCAUCUGUGACUGCAUAGCUAGAGUACGGUAGAGGGGGAUGGAAUUCCGCGUGUAGCAGUGAAAUGCGUAGAUAUGCGGAGGAACACCGAUGGCGAAGGCAAUCCCCUGGACCUGUACUGACGCUCAUGCACGAAAGCGUGGGGAGCAAACAGG
rnacentral:rRNA from 1 species